AGGGAGUUGAGGAGGCCAGUGGAGAAAGAGGGCAUCACAUUGACAACUUGGCCAGAAAUCUGGACACUGUAAGGGAGGAUUUAGUGCUGGGUCGUGCCCUGGGCUGAAUUUAUCGCUGCUUGCCUUGUUAACUCGCCUCAUGUUUAAAGUCAAAACUGCCAUAGGCUCUGAGGGAUUUCCAUCUUUGUCAUUUGUAUGAUCUGCCUCAAAAUACAACCUCCCAAGUAAGGAGCAUGAUUCCCCUCCUGCCAGGAAGAAGAAAGCAGAGAAUUGAGGGAUGCCGAAAUCGAUUUUUAAAGGGUUUGGGUUUGGGGCGGUUCCGGAUGAGGCUCUGUGCGCUAAGUGAGCGAGACGGGGAGGUGGGAGAGGACUGAGCGCUAUGGAAAGGUGGUGGGGACGCAGGUGAGGGCGACGCGGGGAAGCGCAUGGUCCUGGGGCCCGCAGACGGGACGGAGCAGCCGCGGCCCGCAGACGGGACGGAGCAGCCAGCGCCGCUUGUCGGGGCUUGUGGUUGCGAACAUAGAGUGGAAAGAGGAUUCUGCGCUCUGCUCCCGCCCCGGGAGAUUAAGAGUCAACCCUACCAUGCAGCCACGUUUUGCCAGUUCCAGGUAAGUAGGAAAGACUGACUCCCUAGCACAGAUAAUGUUACAAAUGAGGUGCGCUGCGAAGCCAGGAAGCACAGCACCCUUUCGUGUCUAGGCAGCCGGGAGCCCAGGAAUGCACCCGAAAGGCGGGGAGUCAAGGUCCCCCACCGCUUCUCCAGCGCCAGGAGGCCGCAAUUUGUAAGGCGAAAUUAAAAAUGCACCACGUGUCGGCCCGGAGGCUAACGAUGUUUAUACAGACAUACCACACCGAGGGAACCGGCCCAUCAUUCCGCACUGGGCGCGGAGAAGAGGGGGUGAGGGCGCGGCCGGCCCGCCCCUCCCCCGCCGCCUUCCUGCGCCGCAACCUGGACUUGACCCCCGCGAGCCUGGCUCGGCGCGUCCGGGGCCGCCCAGCCGGAGCCGGGCGCUGAGACCGGCGGCCCGGGCCGGCGUCGCUGCGCGC
rnacentral:lncRNA from 1 species